UGGGGAAUAUUGGACAAUGGGCGAAAGCCUGAUCCAGCCAUGCCGCGUGUGUGAAGAAGGUCUUCGGAUUGUAAAGCACUUUAAGUUGGGAGGAAGGGCAGUAAGUUAAUACCUUGCUGCUUUGACGUUACCGACAGAAUAAGCACCGGCUAACUCUGUGCCAGCAGCCGCGGUAAUACAGAGGGUGCAAGCGUUAAUCGGAAUUACUGGGCGUAAAGCGCGCGUAGGUGGUUUGUUAAGUUGGAUGUGAAAGCCCCGGGCUCAACCUGGGAACUGCAUCCAAAACUGGCAAGCUAGAGUACGGUAGAGGGUGGUGGAAUUUCCUGUGUAGCGGUGAAAUGCGUAGAUAUAGGAAGGAACACCAGUGGCGAAGGCGACCACCUGGACUGAUACUGACACUGAGGUGCGAAAGCGUGGGGAGCAAGCA
rnacentral:rRNA from 1 species